rnacentral:rRNA from 1 species
AGUGAACGCUGGCGGCAGGCCUAAUACAUGCAAGUCGAACGGCAGCACAGUGGAGCUUGCUCCAUGGGUGGCGAGUGGCGGACGGGUGAGGAAUACAUGGGAAUCUGCCCAGUCGUGGGGGAUAACGUAUGGAAACGUACGCUAAUACCGCAUGCGCCCUUCGGGGGAAAGUCGGGGACCGCAAGGCCUGACGCGAUUGGAUGAGCCCAUGUUCGAUUAGCUAGUUGGCGGGUAACGGCCCACCAAGGCGACGAUCGAUAGCUGGUCUGAGAGGAUGAUCAGCCACACUGGAACUGAGACACGGUCCCAGACUCCCUACGGGGAGGCAGCAGUAGGGAAUAUUGGACAAUGGGACGCAAGCCUGAUCCAGCCAUGCCGCGUGAGUGAAGAAGGCCCUCGGGUUGUAAA